UGCAAAUUUGAAUCCGGGGAGCCUUAAUAGGCUUGUUCUAUCUGAUCCUGACUGCUGUGAAAUAGUCUCAGACCUGACACGUGGAAAAUAUCAAAAAGUCUCUUUGGCUCAUUUCAGGAUGAAGGUCACAUCCAUAUUAAUUGCCCUUAUAGUGAAGCCUUCCUGGAGGCCACCUGUCAGCACAUCUGGAGCUCAUGUUGCUGCUGCUUCCAACACGGCACCAUUUCCAUCUCUACUCUGACUUCAAAGACCCAUCAAGGUUGAUGACUGUUGGCAACCAACAAAAGGCAGCAAUAUACCCAAUUUUCAAGAUUGAAUGGAACUUGACAGAGUAUCAAGCAGAAUAUCAGUCAAGGAGGCUGAUUUUCAAGGAAGGAAUAGUGUUUCAAGAAAGAAAUAAAGUUUGAAGUAAGAAUUGAUUGUCAGUGAACAAAGUUAAGAUAUGUCAGUAGUAUGGCAAGGCCAAAGCACUGGGGAAGGUGGUAUUGAGUGAAAGUCACCCCAGAAAGAAUCUGUUGGUGGGAAAGUGAUUACCCAGUGCCCAUGGAAGGGAAAUCAUAUUUCAGGUCCAUAAAAUAAGACAUUACUAGGCACACCUCUUAUGUCUCUGUGCUUGUUUGGAUUGGUUUAAGAAUUAUAUUGGGGUAAAUUGACAUGUAGAUAUUAAAGUCAACAAUUGAUGAGAAUUAAAUAUAGAAAGCUUAUUAUUAUCUUUACAUGAGUGGUUUCAAACUUUACCAUACAUAACCAUUAUAUAGAGGGAUUCUUGAAACACAGAUUUGGGGGCUCCACCCCAUUUCCAAUUCAGCCCUGCUUUGAGUAAGGAUAAGAAUUGGCAUUCUAAGCAAUUUUCUAGUUAUGCAGUUGCUGCUUGUUUAGAGACCAUAUUUUGGCAAAUAACUGCACUUGCCUGGACUAUUAGUUUCAGUGGAUCACAUGCAUUUUGCAAGCUCCAAUAAUUCCCUGCCUUCCUCCUCCAACACUUUAAACAAGUGAGCAAAUAUAAGUAUCUGAAUAAAAUUUCAGACACUAAUAUGUAGUACUAUGUG
rnacentral:lncRNA from 1 species